UAUAAAAUGUGUAGUGUGGGAAGAGAAAAUAAACCUAGACCUCAGGAGAAGGGGAAAGGGCAAAGAGGUGGUGUGUGAUAGUGUGUGUGUGUGUGUGUGUGAGUGUUUCUUUAUUCCAGACUCAGAGAAAGGGAGGAACAAGGACUGAGGUGUAAUCCAUUCACUGGACAUCUGGCAUGCAGCCCAAAAUAGAACCAAGAAUCCUGGUGCAGUAACAGGGAAAAGGAGUUGGCAUAACUUUGUUCAUUUCAUCUGUGAUGAAGUCGGCUGUACUUGUCUGGAUGAAAGAGAUUGUCAGUCAACUUUUUUUUCAGUUGAUAAAGGAAACCCAGUUAUGCGCAGAUAUGUGCGAUAUGUCCUCAGUCUUACUAAACUUAACACAGGCCUGUUUCAACUUAAUCUUUGUGAGCUAAUAUCUCCUUUCCUCUUGCUCAUGUUGACUGGAAUACAAUGUAUUAUGUUCAAUAAAGCAGUUGUCAUACACU